rfam:Streptomyces acidiscabies strain NCPPB 4445 genomic scaffold scf_64481_235.1, whole genome shotgun sequence.
CUUCAGCGACCCCAACCACAGCGGACGGUCCUCCGGCCGGUCCUGUCCGUAAGUGGCCAGCAGAGCCUGGGCCUC